rnacentral:rRNA from 1 species
AAAUUUUCUUAAGGAACUCGGCAAAAUCCCAAUGGCCCACCAGGGCAUAUUGGAACACGGGCCUCGACUGUUUACCAAAAACAUAGCCCUCGGCUAAUAUGAAAAUAGAUGUAUAGAGGGUGAUGCCUGCCCAAUGGUUGUAUCUAAAAGCGGUUGAUAAAAGUUGACCUCGUAAGGACAAUUGAAUGGCCGCGGUAACACUGACCGUGAUAAUGUAGCGUAAUCAAUAGCCAAUUAAUUGUUGGCCAGUAUGAAUGGCGCCACGAAGGCCCCACUGUCUUAAGGAAAUUCCCAGUGAAAUUGAAUUCGUAGUGAAGAUGCUACGUCCAAUUUGUUAGACGAAAAGACCCCGUUGAGCUUUACUGGAGCACUUACAUGGCCCCGGCCUUCCCAUGCCUGGGAACCGGCCGAAUUUAAAUGGGCGGCUUAGAUUAUGUGGCAGCCCCCCGCUGGGGCAAAUGAAACACCACUCCCCCAUGUCAAAGGGGCUAACCCCCCCCCUUGGGGGGGACAGUGUAAGUAGGACAGUUUGGUUGGGGCGACCACCUUUUAAAAAGUAACGAAGGUGCGCUUAAGGUGCGCAAUUAAUGACUGAAGCCUGACUGCGAGGGGGACACCCCGAGCAGACACCCCAAAGCCCGCCCGAAAGGCGGCGGUGGGGUGGGCCAUAGUGACCCGUUAAUUUAGAGUGGAAUAGUUAACGAUCAACGAAUAAAAGUUACCACGGGGAUAACAGCGUAAUAUCGUUAGAGAGUUC